CUGCCCGCCUCUUCUCGCGCUCCCCGCUGGCCGCGGCUCCCUCGCGCUCUCCCCGUCUCCUGUCCGCUCCGCCGAGCGAUGCGAGUUCUGGGCCCCGGCGACGCCGCCUCCCGCUAGAGAGAGCUGCACCCCCCACCCCCGGCCCGGCCCUCUGCCCAGCCCUGCCCCGCGCGCGGGGGUCGGAGAAGGCGCCGCGGACGCAUCGACGGCCGAGGAGCGGCGAUGCACAUGCACUAGCGGCACCCCCUAACUCACUCCCUCCACACCCCGCGCCACCGCCGCCUCCACCUUCUCCGCCUCCGCCUCCUCCUCCUCCGCCUCCGGCAGCCGCGGCAGAAGGACCCACCCUGCCCCCCACCCCACCCUCCGCCGGCUCCGGCUGCGGAUCCAGCCUCGACUCCUAUUUUAUUUAUUUUGGGUCGUGCACUAGCCUCGGUGCCUGCAACCCGCGCCUCCCGGGCCCGCGGGCGCCUCCUCUCUCGGCUCCGGAGCCCCAGACCCCGGCUACCCUCACCUCGACACCCCCAGACCCCAGCCAGCCGCCGCUAAUCUUCGCCGCUGGAAUCUUAAUAGAGGCUGUCCUUUUGGGGGGAUUCUGGUCUUUCGACAAUUUUGUUCCCAGCCAAGGAGAGGAUAUCGUGAUUUUCUCCCCUUUGAGCCCAGGCUCUGCUCUGUGGGGGGGUGGGGGGCGCGCCGACCCGGGGAGUCGUGCCAGCCUAGUCGUGCGGGCUGUGGCAGGGAAGGGGCCACCAUGGGAUGUACGCUGAGCGCAGAGGAGAGAGCCGCCCUCGAGCGGAGCAAGGCGAUUGAGAAAAACCUCAAAGAAGAUGGCAUCAGCGCCGCCAAAGACGUGAAAUUACUCCUGCUGGGGGCUGGAGAAUCAGGAAAAAGCACCAUUGUGAAGCAGAUGAAGAUCAUCCAUGAAGAUGGCUUCUCUGGGGAAGACGUGAAGCAGUACAAGCCUGUGGUCUACAGCAACACCAUCCAGUCUCUGGCGGCCAUUGUCCGGGCCAUGGACACUUUGGGCGUGGAGUAUGGUGACAAGGAGAGGAAGACGGACUCCAAGAUGGUGUGUGACGUGGUGAGUCGUAUGGAAGACACUGAACCGUUCUCUGCAGAACUUCUUUCUGCCAUGAUGCGACUCUGGGGCGACUCGGGGAUCCAGGAGUGCUUCAACCGAUCUCGGGAGUAUCAGCUCAAUGACUCUGCCAAAUACUACCUGGACAGCCUGGAUCGGAUUGGAGCCGGUGACUACCAGCCCACUGAGCAGGACAUCCUCCGAACCAGAGUCAAAACAACUGGCAUCGUAGAAACCCACUUCACCUUCAAGAACCUCCACUUCAGGCUGUUUGACGUCGGGGGCCAGCGAUCUGAACGCAAGAAGUGGAUCCACUGCUUUGAGGAUGUCACGGCCAUCAUCUUCUGUGUCGCACUCAGCGGCUAUGACCAGGUGCUCCACGAGGACGAAACCACGAACCGCAUGCACGAAUCCCUGAAGCUCUUCGACAGCAUCUGCAACAACAAGUGGUUCACAGACACAUCUAUUAUCCUGUUUCUCAACAAGAAGGACAUAUUUGAGGAGAAGAUCAAGAAGUCCCCACUCACCAUCUGCUUUCCUGAAUACACAGGUUUGCCAUAAGGGUGAAAGAUGCUCGUGACUAUGCAAACUAUGUAGUCUGUGAUCACUGCAAUUUGAUGUCACUACUACGAUCACAAUGAUAAACAGCUAUUCUAACAGCACCACCCACGCCCCAGUGCCUUCACAGAAGCUGUGGCUCACAUCCAAGGGCAGUAUGAGAGUAAGAAUAAGUCAGCUCACAAGGAAGUCUACAGCCAUGUCACCUGUGCCACGGACACCAACAACAUCCAAUUCGUCUUUGAUGCCGUGACAGAUGUCAUCAUCGCCAAAAACCUACGGGGCUGUGGACUCUACUGAGCCCUGGCCUCCUACCCAGCCUGCCACUCACUCCUCCCCUGGACCCAGAGCUCUGUCACUGCUCAGAUGCCCUGUUAACUGAAGAAAACCUGGAGGCUAGCCUUGGGGGCAGGAGGAGGCAUCCUUUGAGCAUCCCCACCCCACCCAACUUCAGCCUCGUGACACGUGGGAACAGGGUUGGGCAGAGGUGUGGAACAGCACAAGGCCAGAGACCACGGCAUGCCACUUGGGUGCUGCUCACUGGUCAGCUGUGUGUCUUACACAGAGGCCGAGUGGGCAACACUGCCAUCUGAUUCAGAAUGGGCAUGCCCUGUCCUCUGUACCUCUUGUUCAGUGUCCUGGUUUCUCUUCCACCUUGGUGAUAGGAUGGCUGGCAGGAAGGCCCCAUGGAAGGUGCUGCUUGAUUAGGGGAUAGUCGAUGGCAUCUCUCAGCAGUCCUCAGGGUCUGUUUGGUAGAGGGUGGUUUCGUCGACAAAAGCCAACAUGGAAUCAGGCCACUUUUGGGGCGCAAAGACUCAGACUUUGGGGACGGGUUCCCUCCUCCUUCACUUUGGAUCUUGGCCCCUCUCUGGUCAUCUUCCCUUGCCCUUGGGCUCCCCAGGAUACUCAGCCCUGACUCCCAUGGGGUUGGGAAUAUUCCUUAAGACUGGCUGACUGCAAAGGUCACCGAUGGAGAAACAUCCCUGUGCUACAGAAUUGGGGGUGGGACAGCUGAGGGGGCAGGCGGCUCUUUCCUGAUAGUUGAUGACAAGCCCUGAGAAUGCCAUCUGCUGGCUCCACUCACACGGGCUCAACUGUCCUGGGUGAUAGUGACUUGCCAGGCCACAGGCUGCAGGUCACAGACAGAGCAGGCAAGCAGCCUUGCAACUGCAGAUUACUUAGGGAGAAGCAUCGGGGCCUCGUGAGCCAGGCCCCGUAGCCAGUGCCCUGCUUUACUCCAGCCUUGGUCAGGAAGUCGAAAGCCCUUGGUGUAUUCCUGGUCUCGGAGCAAAUAAUGAGCCAGCACCCUGAAGGGUGGGCUCCAACUCAGACAUGCAGCCAGCCCCCUAGGUGGGUAAACGCCCUAGGGACCUAGGGAGAGCCUUUGCUGCAGAGAUUCCUAAGCAAAACGGCGUGGUGGAGCUUUGGCAACCCUAGCCCCAGCUAACUUUGGACAGUCAGCAUAUGUCCCUGCCAUCCCUAGACAUCUCCAGUCAGCUGGUAUCACAGCCAGUGGUUCAGACAGGUUUGAAUGCUCAUGUGGCAGGCUGUACAGAUGCAGAUGUGCCCCUGGGCAGUCGGGAAAGGUCUACGGGUCUCUGCCGUUCUCAAGCCCUGUAUUUUCCUGCCCUCCACUCUGAACCCUGCUCCGUCACAGGACCCUGGCCCUCUUUCAUAGUCCCUGUGACCUUGCCACCAGCUCCGGCCUCUUUGGUUCCAACAAGAACAGAACUGUGGGUAGUCUAGGGAAGCAUGGGACCUUCUCCAAUGCCAAAUGCUUGUAGGGGUCCUCUGGGAGUUCACUCCCCAUCUUGGUGAUCCUCUGGGGAGCCCACCCCAGUCUGGUUGCCUCACCCUUCCCCCUCUACCCAUAUUUUUCUACAUCUCCAUAGUUCUAGGACCCUGUGCCAUGUACUGGGGUAACAGAGAACAGCCUGGAGACCACGAUCUCAGUGAUGGCCUCGUGUGAUCAAAAAGACCAGUUCAGACCCUGGGCCAACAGCAGCUAUUUCUCAGCAGCACCCCUGGGUGUGGCCACCUGUGUCGACAGGCUGUAACCCCAAGUUUAAAAGCACCUACGGUCAAGGGUUGUUGGCCAAGCCCCAUCUUUUAGGACCAUUUCCAGGAAGGUAGAAAUCAGCAUCCCUAACAAUCCCUCUAUGGCUCCCAUUCCCCAAGUGGCCCCUCCAAAUCAUUGCAGCACAGUUGUCAGAGCUCACAGCUAGAAUCAGGGCCUGUACCCAGCCUCCCCACUCCUGUCCCCAAGACUUCCUUCUGCUCGACCUACUGUGUUCAGCCUAGUGUCAUGCACUACUGUCAGCCUCAGGUAGCGAGGUCUCAGGCUGUCUACUCUAAGCCUUCAAGAACAUGGUCCACAGGGAAGGCUGUUCUGUGUCCCACCCAUGUCGUCACCAGCAGCUCUACCAUGGGGGGGACAAGCAUGUGUGACAGGUGAAUCUUGGCUCCGCCGUGGCUUUGGGUAUGGGGGAAGUGUUGAAAGUGACCAGAUCAGGGGAAUGGCCCAUAUGUGCAGUGGCCUUGUCCCCAGAGGGGCCAUGCUGUAGUGUCUGAGUAGUAGUAUAACUCAGCAGGCUAGGAGCCAGUUCCCAGGAAGAGUGCCUUCACUGUAUUCGUGGAACCGUGCCUGUUGCCUAGGUGCCUGUGGGCAAAUCCUGUGCCCUGUGCCAAUUACCAUUCUAAGAAUCUGCCCUUUAAGCAUAGGUAGAGGCUUCUGAGCCUCUGGGCUGAGCUGUAGAGGGUGCUGGCGGACUCUGGGCUGAGCCGUGGAGGGUGCUGGCGGACUCUGGGCUGAGCCGUGGAGGGUGCUGGUGGACUCUGGGCUGAGCCGUGGAGGGUGCUGGUGGACUCUGGGCUGAGCCGUGGAGGGUGCUGGCGAACUCUGGGCUGAGCCGUGGAGGGUGCUGGUGGACUCUAGGCUGAGCUGUGGAGGGUGCUGGCAGACUCUGGGCUGAGCCGUGGAGGGUGCUGGUGGACUCUGGGCUGAGCUGUGGAGGGUGCUGGCAGACUCUGGGCUGAGCUGUGGAGGGUGCUGGCAGACUCUGGGCUGAGCUGUGGAGGGUGCUGGUGGACUCUGGGCUGAGCCGUGGAGGGUGCUGGCGGACUCUAGGCUGAGCUGUGGAGGGUGCUGGCAGACUCUGGGCUGAGCCGUGGAGGGUGCUGGUGGACUCUAGGCUGAGCUGUGGAGGGUGCUGGCAGACUCUGGGCUGAGCUGUGGAGGGUGCUGGUGGACUCUGGGCUGAGCCGUGGAGGGUGCUGGCGGACUCUAGGCUGAGCUGUGGAGGGUGCUGGCAGACUCUGGGCUGAGCUGUGGAGGGUGCUGGCGGACUCUGGGCUGAGCUGUGGAGGGUGCUGGUGGACUCUGGUGUGGGAACGGGGAUGGAUUCCUCCCAGUCUGAUCCACUCAUUAGUAGAAAUGGCCUUCAGCCUCUCACGAUCCCUUCUGUGGAUGGAGCCCCUAGAUCCUGGUGCCCUGUCCCCUUGUCCCCUCUUGUACCAUGCAGAGCACCACCAUCAUCUCAGCCUUGCAGCUCAGGUCCACACCCUGCUGUUGGGAACUGGAGGCAUCUGACCUGUGUGGUCUGUACUGGAUAUCACUGAGUGCCCUGUUCAACCCCAUACCCAGGCUGUCUCUCAGGUUGACAGCGCUUCACCCCAGCCCUUGCCCUAUGCAGAAAGUACUGCUUCGAGAGAUGUACCUGUGGUUCCCACGUACUACAUGCUACAGCCAGUGACCUGAGGGCAGGGUUCACCUCACACUCCUCCUGACCCUCUCCCCAUCUCCAUCUGACCCAGCCUCUUGACACAGAGAUCCAGCACACCUAGGAGAGACUCAUGAACCCUCCUGACCCAGUAGUAGCCUGUCACCUUCUUCUGAAGAUCCUGGGGGCACAGAACAUCUUCUAACUGCCACCCCUUUUUUCUGGGCCUCCCGGUAAGCUCCAGGUAUAGCUCCACAGCUCUGAGGAAUCCAGUCCUGAGGCUCCACCUCCACUGUAAUUGAGCUCCUGGAGGCAAGCACCUUCCAGGCUGCUGAUCCCAUCAGGCUACAAGCUAAAGAAAGAAAGUUCCAGCAUCCCAAAGAACAGGGCCAGGGGUGUAAGCAGGCUUCCCCAGGCCCUACCACUCAGGAGAGCCGUGUACUCAUCUGCUUAAAGAGUGGGGUUCAGGCUCACAGAUGCCACCCCAUGCCAGAUGAUGGCCAUGUCAAGGAGGGAACAGGUAGAAGAAAACCAGAAAUAAUGGCCCCAUCCAAAGUCCUGAGCCCUCUAGGCAGAGUGCGGUACCCUAUGACAGGCAGCUUCCUUCUCUUCCCCAGGCACAAAAGGCCAUCAGCAGAAACAGUACCCUUCCCAGCAGCCCCCAGGCCCUCUCCUCCCCUAAGCCUCCUGCACCAGCCACAGUUGUCUGCCCAGCAUGGACAGCAGCCCCCAACUCCUGUUGUUCUCCCUGACUUCUGACUUGACCCCUGUGGCUGAUGCACACACACCCUUCAAGUCCCAGGCCAGAGGCUGGGCACCCCACGUUCCUCUUAGCAGAGCCUUCUUAGGUGCACCCGCCCCACCUCUUGACCCACCACCACCACCUACCCUCAUUAACUGUAAUUUUGUAAGAAGAGUGAUUUGCUGGUUAAUAAAUACCUAGUUAUUGUAAUAAUUUAUUGGCUGCCAUAAUGUAUUUAUUAGUCACCCACCAUUAAUAAAAAGUGCCAGCUCUUUCUA